rnacentral:lncRNA from 1 species
ACUCCUCCGGCUGCGUCCCGGCCGCGCUCCCGGCGCGCACUCCAGCAGGAUGAGAGCGGCGGAGCUCCUGGUGCUGUGUCUGCCAGCGCUCCUGGUGCAGGGACAGUUCAGCAGGUUCGAGGGCAUCACCUAUCCCGAGCCAGCCCAGUACUCCCAGUACGACCAGCAGGCAGGUGAGCCUCAGCCCCGGGCUGCACCUGCCCCCGCCCGCCUCCCUCCUGCCUCCCUUCCCUUCCGGCUCGGGUCCCUCUUUGUGCUCCAUCCUCUUCCUGCCGCCCUCGGAAUUCCCGACCUUCCCAUCUCCUCCCUCUGCUCUCACUGACAAGUCCUUAUUGAACCUUUAUCCAAUGCUUUAUUAAACCUCUAUCCAGUUAUUUAUUGAACCUUUAUCCAAGUCUUUAUUAAACCUUUAUCCAAGUCUUUAUUGAACCUUUAUCCAAGUCUUUAUCAAACCGUUAUCCAAUUCUUUUUUGAACCUUUACUCAUCCCAAAUCCCCACCUGGUGGGACGUGGCGCAGUCUCAUCCCUGGAGUGGCUGGAGGGAGUUUUCCUGAACCCCCACAGAAUUCCAGGGAUCCCAUUUCCCCCUCCUGACGCCCACGGGAUGAGUUUUCUCCCUAAACCCUCCCUCAGACUGUUUUUGUUUCAUCCCCAGAAAUUCAGGAUUACUACGACUACCAUGAUGUCACCCCCCGAGCCCCAGAGGAGCAGUUCCGGUUCCAAUCCCAGCAGCAAUCCCAGCAGGAAACCGUGCCAGCCCCGACCCCAGGUGGGUGACAGCCCCCGGGGUGGGUAACAGCCCCCCGAGAUAGAUGACAAUCCCCCAGGGUGGGUGACAGCCCCCGGGGUGGGUAACAGCCCCCCGCCCCCCCCCCCCCCCCCCCCCCCCCCCCCCCCCCCCCCCCCCCCCCCCCCCCCCCCCCCCCCCCCCCCCCCCCCCCCCCCCCCCCCCCCCCCCCCCCCCCCCCCCCCCCCCCCCCCCCCCCCCCCCCCCCCCCCCCCCCCCCCCCCCCCCCCCUGUCCCCUGUCCUUUGUCCCCUGUCCCCUGUCCCUCUGUCCUCUGUCCCCCUGUCUCCCUGUCCCUCUGUCCCUCUGUCCCCCUGUCCCGUUUCUGGGCCGGGGGAGGCGCUGGCUGAGGAAUUCCCGGGAAUUCCCGUUUCCCAGACUGCCGGGAGGAGCAGUACCCCUGCACCCGGCUCUACUCCGUGCACAAGCCCUGCAAGCAGUGCCUGAACGAGAUCUGCUUCUACAGCCUCCGCCGGGUGUACGUCAUCAACAAGGAGAUCUGCGUCCGCACCGUGUGCGCCCACGAAGAGCUGCUGCGAGCCGACCUGUGCCGGGACAAGUUCUCCAAGUGCGGGGUGAUGGCCACGAGCGGCCUGUGCCAGACGGUGGGAGCGUCCUGCGCCCGCAGCUGCGGCGGCCCCCCCCCCCCCCCCCCCCCCCCCCCCCCCCCCCCCCCCCCCCCCCCCCCCCCCCCCCCCCCCCCCCCCCCCCCCCCCCCCCCCCCCCCCC